GCUCUGUAGACACGCGCAAAUAUCAAUUACUGUACUCAACAAUUGAUUUUUUUUUUUGUUCCUGGUUAAUAAGUGUUAUUUCCUUAUUGCUUCUACCACAGCUGUAUAGAAAAUGGCUAUUAUUCCCUACAAGUGUUUCUUUUGUGACCAGGACAUGGGUAUUUUCAAAAGUACCUUUAUUUUUAAUGAGAAAACGGGUGAAUUGUUCACAUAAAUUUAAAAGGAAAAAAAAAAACUAGGGAAAUUUCAAAAAAUUUUAUUUUCCAGAACAUUUCCAGAUCUUUUUUCCUGAACAUUUCCAGAAUUCUAGAAAUUCCCAGUAAUAUAAACUGUAGUAUAAACACAUUCUCCUUAAGCCCACAAGUUUCGUGUAGUCCCAGCUACCUAAAUGGAAACAUUUCAGCAUUUUUUUAUUAGCUGGCAUCAAGAGGCUGUAAGCAUCCAGCAGACGCAUCUUGCUACAGUAUGCCUGUGGUGAAUUUAUCAAGACAAGAGCGAAAAAGUACUCCAAGGACGCAUCUGUUAAGAUGUGUGAGGCCUACAAGGCAUAUUUAUGCAUGCUAAUCGGGGAUCAAGACAAUCCGUGGUCACCUCUUUUCACCUGUGAGCACUGCAGAAAAAAAACUGGAAGGAUGAUACAGAGGGGAAAAGAGAGCCACGAAGUUCGCUAUCCCAAGAAUUUGGCAGGAACCCGCUGACCACUCAGGCAACUGCUGUUUCUGCAUGGUGGACCCUUCCAAAUGUCGGAGUGGCAAAAAAAUGCAACUGUUAUCACAUAAUCUGGACCUUCCUUCAUCCAUCAGCACUUUGCCACACUGCUCUGAGCUUCCCAUACCCACUCCUCCGAACAGAGAUCUGCCGUCUUCAAAAGUGAGCAGCAAGUCAGAGAGCGAGGAAGGUAUUGCAGAUCCAGAAUACAAUUUCACAGGUGGAGCUGAGGAGAGAAACCCAUACUACCACCACCAAAAAGACCUUAAUGACUUGAUCAGAGAUCUUUGCCUCACCAAGUCCAAUGCUGAACUUUUGACAUCUAGGACAUCUAGGCUCAAACUAUGGAAUUUGUUUGAUGAAAAUGUGCAAGUCGCAGGUCAUAGCAAGUAUCAACUAGCUUUUUGCCUCUUUUUCACCAAUCAAGAUGGGCUCUGAAUUAGAGAUCGACCGAUAUUGAUUUUUUAUUUCGGUAGCGAUUCCGAUAGUUGCGUGUUUGUGUGCCCGAUAACCGAUUCAGAACCAAUAUUUAUUUAUUGUUUUACUUCUGUUUUUGACACAAUGAUAACACCACUGAACUGAACAAACCGUUUUAUUUACAACAAUUUUGUCAAUUUCACUUCCUCCUUGCAUACAAAAAAAAACAUAACUCUUAUUUAUACAUCAAUAAAUAGAGGGAGCUGAAAGAGUGCAAACAAUAAAGUGCACUGUUACUAAAGUGUCUUUUUUUUUUUUAAUAAAAGUUUUGAUGAGGUAAACAGAU